ACGUAGAGUGAGAGAGAGACAGAGAGAAUAAGAUAGAAAAAGAGAGAAAGAGAGAAAGAGAAAGAGAGAGAAAGAGAAAGAGAGAGAGUGUGUGUGAGAGAGAGAGACAGAGACAGAGAACGUAAAAGAAACGCCAGCUGCCAAGUCAAAUAAUCAUCAAGCGGCGAAAAAGCCAGGCUCUAAGCAACGAGAAGCAAGCCACCUCUUCCUCUCGCUAUCGUUUCAUUUUCUUGUUUUUUUUUUUCCUGUGUUUCCUCUACAUCUUUUUUUUUUUAUUUCUCUAUAUAUUUCUUUUUUUUUUCCACUACGAUCUUUUCUGUUUCUCUGCGCCUGCUUGCAGCCACACAACAGAUAGCCAGCCAGUAGAAUCACAAAGGGGUGCAUGUAUUUCAUUUUUUCUUUUUUUUUUUUUCGUGUCUUGGCUGAGAAGCAACAGAGGCUGAAGGGGCUGUGGAGAACAGAGAGAAGAGGCGAGAGAUGGUGAAGGUCGGGAUCGGAAAGCACACG